rnacentral:rRNA from 1 species
UUCUCCUGGGAAAACGGUGGUAAUGCCGGAUGCUCCAGUUGAUCGCAUGGUCUUCUGGGAAAGCUUUCGCGGUAUGGGAUGGGGUCGCGUCCUAUCAGCUUGACGGCGGGGUAACGGCCCACCGUGGCUUCGACGGGUAGCCGGCCUGAGAGGGCGACCGGCCACAUUGGGACUGAGAUACGGCCCAGACUCCUACGGGAGGCAGCAGUGGGGAAUAUUGCACAAUGGGCGCAAGCCUGAUGCAGCGACGCCGCGUGAGGGAUGGAGGCCUUCGGGUUGUAAACCUCUUUUAUCGGGGAGCAAGCGAGAGUGAGUUUACCCGUUGAAUAAGCACCGGCUAACUACGUGCCAGCAGCCGCGGUAAUACGUAGGGUGCAAGCGUUAUCCGGAAUUAUUGGGCGUAAAGGGCUCGUAGGCGGUUCGUCGCGUCCGGUGUGAAAGUCCAUCGCUUAACGGUGGAUCCGCGCCGGGUACGGGCGGGCUUGAGUGCGGUAGGGGAGACUGGAAUUCCCGGUGUAACGGUGGAAUGUGUAGAUAUCGGAAAGAAACACCACCCGUUUUCCAAGAGAG